rnacentral:tRNA from 1 species
AGGGGUGUAGCUCAAUUGGCAGAGUUGCGGAUUCCAAAUCCGUAGGUUCAGGGUUCGAGUCCCUGCGCCCCUG